GCCCGCCUAGCUCAAUCGGAUAGAGCGUCAGACUCUUACGUCAAGCGGGUUAAUCUGAAGGCUGCGAGUUCGACCCUCGCGGUGGGCU